rnacentral:misc_RNA from 1 species
AACAUCGCGCACCUGCGGGAACCUGCGGAAGGAUCAUUAUCGAGUUUACAACUCCCAAACCCCUGUGAACAUACCAAUCGUUGCCUCGGCGGGACCGCCCCGGCGCCCCCGGGCCCGGACCCAGGCGCCCGCCGGAGGACCCCCAAACUCACUUGAUUCCACGGUGUAUCCUCUGAGUGACACAAGCAAAUAAAAUCAAAACUUUCAACAACGGAUCU